UACGUAGGGAGCAAGCGUUGUCCGGAGUUACUGGGCGUAAAGCGCAUGCAGGCGGUUGAUUAAGUUUGUGAUGACAGUUCCCGGCUUAACUGGGAAAGUGUUACGAAUACUGGUCAACUUGAGGGCUUCAGAGGGAUGUGGAACUCCGGGUGGAGUGGUGAAAUGCGUAGAUAUCCGGAAGAACACCAAAGGCGAAGGCAGCAUCCUGGGAAGAACCUGACGCUCAGAUGCGAAAGCCAGGGGAG
rnacentral:rRNA from 1 species